UGGUCGCAACCGUCAUCACCUUCCAUCCCAUGGAUGUUGCUGGGGCAUAACCAUAAUCCACAUCAUGGCCGACACCUUCUAUGCAUGCUGACGGGGCAUAAUCAUCUCCGUCGUCGUCUCUCCGUCUCCGUGCUUCUUGCACCCCGAGGCACUUAUCAUCAAUUUUGAAGGGGUAAACAAAAGUGGUUCUGUAACCCUACCAACAAGUAAGAGGACGGUGGAAAACACGAGCUGCCGUUUGGUAAAAACCAAGUGGAAAAGCAGUAGCUUCUUUUUGAGAAAAACAACCCAACGGAAAGAUGUUUUCCGUGGAAAACCACGAUGUCACUUGUGGUCUCACGAUCUGAUCACUGGACGGUUAAGAUUGAAGUUUUACAAAAGAUUCUUAUUAUCUAGUUGUAUCAUCUCUCUAAUAGAGAAGUGACUUCUAUUCUAAUAAAUAUAGAAAAUCCACAUAAACCUUAUCUUUAUUAGAAAUGGUAUAAAAAAUAAUAUAACUAAUUGGGAAGUGUAGCAUUAUUCUAUAUGAAUACGAUGGACAUCGUCGGCACCUUCUUGUGCAUUCAUGUUAAAAAAAAGGCUCAUGUUUGGUUUUCAAGGAUAUGAGGGUAGAAAUAAUUAAAAUCCACCUCAUUAUAUUUUUUUCUUACAUUAAGUCCCAACGAAUGUCAGGAACAUUCUCUUUUAAAUUUUUUUGCUUUGUGUCUUUAUUUUGUUUUUAUUCAGCAAUGUCGUAAUUUAAUUUUUUUUAUUUUUGAUAUUACUCUUUAAAGAUCAUUAUACUAAAGUAAAACCAAAUUCAUUAUACUAAACACGAACCAAUACCCCGAACGACGCCGUUUGAUGAGCUAAUCGGGACUGUACCGUACAUUUCCCGUUCUCCGUUGUACAAUUCCGAAAAACCCCAAAAUCAAACGUCGCGGCAAACAGGCCCUAAAAAUUGGAGGGGAGUUCCGGCGCCGCUUCCGACGCCGCAAUCGAAACCUUAGAACCAGAGAGUGGUGCUUCGGCGAAAUCGAACAAAUGAAGGGGAUGAUCCUGAUCCAUUCCGCCUUGUCCGACGACAUGCGUACGGUGGUGAUUUCAGUGGAAACCAAGCUCACCAACAUAGACCUCAAAUCCAUCUCCGCCAGUGCCCUGUCACCUCCUCAGCCCCAAAGUCCUCCAGGAGAUAGGUUGGGUAAGAGACGUUACUAAAUUCCGUGUGGUGGGUUUUACGAGGAAUACGAGUAGUCGGCGGCUUUUGAAACUCGGGCUCACGGACGGCCACAGUGAGGUAGCAGCUGUGGAGUACUCUCAUAUCCCGGCAAUCCCUGACGACGUCGUUCCUGGAACUAAAGUAUUUUCCACUACAUUUACAAUGAGUUUGGAAGUUUUAGGUCACAACUUACAGUUUAUGGCUCCAAACUGUUUGCCACGAAAUUGAUUAUUUGAUUGGUAUUAAGAGGACGAACAGAUUCGUGCUCUAGAUCAGGGCAAAAGCUUGCCGUGAGAAAUUGAGGAGGGAGAGAUUUAAUGACAGGUGUUUGAAUUUCUCUUGCUACAAAAACUAAUGAAUUGAGACUGAAAAAUGAGAAGUUGCCAUCAAGUGCUUAUGUUUUAGUAUAAUUUCACAUCUGUGAUUCCAAAGUGUUUCCCCCAAUCCAGUGUUUGAAUUUCUCUUGCUACAAAAACUAAUGAAUUGAGACUGAAAAAUGAGAAGUUGCCAUCAAGUGCUUAUGUUUUAGUAUAAUUUCACAUCUGUGAUUCCAAAGUGUUUCCCCCAAUCCAGUAUGAAUGGUGGUUUUCUGUUGAAUUUUACUGUUUUGCAAUUUGGGAUUUGCGUGGAUUGUAAAUUUUGAAUUUUUUUUUUUUUAUGCAGGUGUUUGAAUUUCUCUUGCUACAAAAACUAAUGAAUUGAGACUGAAAAAUGAGAAGUUGCCAUCAAGUGCUUAUGUUUUAGUAUAAUUUCACAUCUGUGAUUCCAAAGUGUUUCCCCCAAUCCAGUGUUUGAAUUUCUCUUGCUACAAAAACUAAUGAAUUGAGACUGAAAAAUGAGAAGUUGCCAUCAAGUGCUUAUGUUUUGGUAUAAUUUCACAUCUGUGAUUCCAAAGUGUUUCCCCCAAUCCAGUUUUGUCUUUUCAGAUGAAUAUAUGCCACAAGCCAUGCAGAAGAAUAUAGCUGAGUGAGCAACUUUUGUUUUUAAUACUGUGUUUUGAAAAAAAUUUGACAAAACAAAAGAUCGAAGAUACUGAUCAUGGGCUGGGGUUUGCAAUUGGUUUUCAAGUAAGGGAUGUAAUAAGCACUCAUAAAUUAGGAACAGUCAAAGUUAACGCUUUUUAGAAUAAGUGGCACUUGAGUUAUAGAACUGAGGAAUGAAAUUGCAGAGCGCAUGUAUAUUUA